GAAAUGCGAUAAGUAAUGCGAAUUGCAGAAUUCAGUGAAUCAUCGAAUCUUUGAACGCACAUUGCGCCCGCUAGUAUUCUGGCGGGCAUGCCUGUCUGAGCGUCAUUUCAACCCUCAUUCCCGGCUUCGUGGCGGGGAUGGUGUUGGGGAUCGGCCUCCCGGUUGCGGGCGGCCGGCCCCGAAAUAGAGUGGCGACCACGCCGUAGCCUCCUCUGCGUAGUAGUGAAAACCUCGCAGGCGGAGAGCGGUGCGGCCUGCCGUAAAACCCCCAACUCUUCUAAGGUUGACCUCAGAUCAGGUAGGAAUACCCGCUGAACUUAAGC
rnacentral:misc_RNA from 1 species